ACGCGGCCGGCGUGCUUAAUACAUGCAAGUCGAGCGAAUGAUGAGAAGCUUGUUCUUCUGAUUAAGCGGCGGACGGGUGAGUAACACGUGGGUAUUCUGCCUGUAAGACGGGGAUAAUUCCGGGAAACCGGGGUUAAUACCGGAUAUCAAGAGAAAAGCCAUGUUUUUUUUUUGAAAUUCGGUUUUCGCUGACACUUACAGAUGAGCCCGCGGCGCAUUAGCUAGUUGGUGAGGUAACGGCUCACCAAGGCGACGAUGCGUAGCCGACCUGAGAGGGUGAUCGGCCACACUGGGACUGAGACACGGCCCAGACUCCUACGGGAGGCAGCAGUAGGGAAUCUUCGGCAAUGGGCGAAAGCCUGACCGAGCAACGCCGCGUGAGCGAUGAAGGCCUUCGGGUCGUAAAGCUCUGUUGUUAGAGAAGAACAAGUACGAGAGUAACUGCUCGUACCUUGACGGUACCUAACCAGAAAGCCACGGCUAACUACGUGCCAGCAGCCGCGGUAAUACGUAGGUGGCAAGCGUUAUCCGGAAUUAUUGGGCGUAAAGCGCGCGCAGGCGGUCUCUUAAGUCUGAUGUGAAAGCCCACGGCUCAACCGUGGAGGGUCAUUGGAAACUGGGAGACUUGAGUGCAGGAGAGAAAAGUGGAAUUCCACGUGUAGCGGUGAAAUGCGUAGAGAUGUGGAGGAACACCAGUGGCGAAGGCGGCUUUUUGGCCUGUAACUGACGCUGAGGCGCGAAAGCGUGGGGAGCAAACAGGAUUAGAUACCCUGGUAGUCCACGCCGUAAACGAUGAGUGCUAGGUGUUGGGGGGUUCCACCCUCAGUGCUGAAGUUACACAUUAAGCACUCCGCCUGGGGAGUACGACGCAAGGUUGAAACUCAAAGGAAUUGACGGGGGCCCGCACAAGCAGUGGAGCAUGUGGUUUAAUUCGAAGCAACGCGAAGAACCUUACCAGGUCUUGACAUCCUCUGACCACUCUAGAGAUAGAGCUUUCCUUCGGGGGACAGAGUGACAGGUGGUGCAUGGUUGUCGUCAGCUCGUGUCGUGAGAUGUUGGGUAAGUCCCGCACGAGCGCAACCCUUGACCUUAGUUGCCAGCAUUCAUUGGGCACUCUAAGGUGACUGCCGGUGACAAACCGGAGGAAGGUGGGGAUGACGUCAAAUCAUCAUGCCCCUUAUGACCUGGGCUACACACGUGCUACAAUGGAUGGUACAAAGGUUGCGAAGCGCGAGGCCAAGCC
rnacentral:rRNA from 1 species